AUUGAACGCUGGCGGCAGGCUUAACACAUGCAAGUCGAACGAGUGGCGGACGGGUGAGUAAUGCUUGGGAAUCUAGCUUAUGGAGGGGGAUAACUACGGGAAACGGUAGCUAAUACCGCGUACCAUAGGAUGAGCCCAAGGGGGAUUAGGUAGUUGGUGGGGUAAAGGCUCACCAAGCCGACGAUCUCUAGCUGGGCUGAGAGGAUGAUCAGCCACACUGGGACCGAGACACGGACCAGACGCCUACGGGAGUCAGCAGUGGGGAAGAUUGCACAAUGGGCGCAAGCGUGAUGCAGCCAUGCCGCGUGGAUGAAGAAGGCAUUAGGGUUGUAAAGUACUUUCAGCGGGGAGGCGUUACCCGCAGAAGAAGCACCGGCUAACUCCGUGCCAGCAGCCGCGGUAAUUC
rnacentral:rRNA from 1 species